CCUACGGGGAGCUGCAGUGAGGAAUAUUGGUCAAUGGUCGGGAGACUGAACCAGCCAAGCCGCGUGAGGGAGGAAGGUACAGAGUAUCGUAAACCUCUUUUGUCAGGGAACAAAGGCGGGGACGUGUCCCCGGAUGAGUGUACCUGAAGAAAAAGCAUCGGCUAACCCCGUGCCAGCAGCCGCGGUAAUACGGAGGAUGCGAGCGUUAUCCGGAUUUAUUGGGUUUAAAGGGUGCGGAGGCGGUCUGUUAAGUCAGCGGUAAAAGCGCGGGGCUCAACCCCGGCCCGCCGUUGAAACUGGCAGUCUCGAGUUGGAGAGAAGUAUGCGGAAUGCGCGGUGUAGCGGUGAAAUGCAUAGAUAUCGCGCAGAACUCCGAUUGCGAAGGCAGCAUGCCGGCUCCACACUGACGCUGAGGCACGAAAGCGUGGGUAUCGAACAGGAUUAGAUACCCUGGUAGUC
rnacentral:rRNA from 1 species